rnacentral:rRNA from 1 species
CAGCAGCAGCCGCGGUAAUACGAAGGGGGCUAGCGUUGUUCGGAAUUACUGGGCGUAAAGCGCACGUAGGCGGAUAUUUAAGUCAGGGGUGAAAUCCCAGAGCUCAACUCUGGAACUGCCUUUGAUACUGGGUAUCUUGAGUAUGGAAGAGGUGAGCGGAAUUCCGAGUGUAGAGGUGAAAUUCGUAGAUAUUCGGAGGAACACCAGUGGCGAAGGCGGCUCACUGGUCCAUUACUGACGCUGAGGUGCGAAAGCGUGGGGAGCAAACAGGAUUAGAUACCCCUGUAGUCCCUGUCUCUUAUAC